ACAGUGGCCUUCCUUUCUGCUCUGUGUUCUCUCUAAUUUCUCUCAUUCUUCUUAUCACCUUUGAGGAUCCUGACAGGUUAGGCCUGACAAGUGGCAUUUAAUGUGGGGUCCAAGAAGGUACACUGAGGGAGUAGAGGUUACUCCUCCUAUGUCCAUGAUGUCUCCUUUAUAGCAGACCUUAUCAAGAAUGCAGAAGAUGGGACGAAAUGUUACAGUAUUUUUCUUUUCCAGUGUUGGAGCAAACAUGCACAGGGAUAAGAAUAAUUCAAUGAAUGAAAAGGAAACGAAGCAAAAAAAAAGAAGUAUUCUAAAUAGAGAUAAUAAAAUAGUUGCCCACCAGAGUAAUAGAAGAUUUAGAAAUUGACUUCAGCAAAUUGCUCCACCUGAAACUCAUGUUCCUGGGACUACUCUUCUUCCCUCCUUUUGCUUGCAGGAAGUAAGAGGUAAAUAUCUGAGAAUUUUACCCUAAUCCUCCUGCUUUUAAGGACAACACUCAAAGAAUUCUUCUCAUUUCUCACCUCGCAAUUUCCCUGGACAUUGUCAUCUUCAGAAAUACAUGAUUCUACAAAAUAAAUUUGACUGAUAAAUUCAUUUUCCACCCAAAAUGAAUGAUUCAUCCUCAUUGUCCAUGCUUUCCAUUCUUUCUCCAUCACUGGGUAACCAAACCCCUCAGAUCUCUUUUUUAUGUGUUUUCUCUCUCAUUAGAUUAUGAGUUCUUUGAAGGCAGAGAAUGUCUUAUGUAUGUGUGUAUGUGUUUAUUUUUUGUAUUCCCAUCACUUAGUACAGUGCCUGUAGAAGGUACUCAGUAAAUGAUUAUUGACUAACUCUGGCUAAUAAGGGAUUUUUUUCAGGAUUAUAACAAUAUGAAUUUAUAUAUCUGUUAAAGAAACUCUCCUAAUAAACAUACAAAUCUAAGAGAGAUAGAUAUACUUAUUUCCUAUGGCUAUCAAUGGAGAUUCUGCACCCAAAUAUGUGCCAGUUUUGUAAUCUUAACUUUGGUUUCAGUUUUCACAAUUAUUUAUGAUAGUAAUUAUUUAUGCAGUCUAAAUUAAAGAUUGAUGACUAACUUUUAUAAAAAUUCAGUGAUAUUUUGUACUUUUUGAGGCCUGCAAGAUAUAUUUUGGUGUAUAGAGAUACAUAUUUACUUGUACAUGCAUCAUGUAUUUAAAAUAUAUGAAUAUGAUGAAUUAUUUCAACAAUUAUCUAUAAUGUCUAGAUGACAAAAUUAUUUAAUGUUGCUACUAUCUCAAUAUUAUAUGUUCAAAUUGGGAAUUUAAUUGGCUGCUGAAAACAAGUCUCUUUUUAGUGUUUUAUAGUACCAGACAAACCAUGAGAGUUAAUAUACUAAAAUUAAUCUAAAAGUUAUCAGUAAGACAGCAAUAGAGGUAACCUUUUCAAAAACAUGAAAUUCAGAUUUAGAAGUUAACUGAAUAAUUACUAUUGUAACAGAAAAGCAACUAGAAAUAAAGUUUAAAAAUUCAGUUCAAUUGUAUUAAAUUAACUUUCUUAUUUUUUACUAACUUUCAUCAAAUAUCAAAUGUAAAAUUUAUGAUCAGUAAAUCAAGAAAUAUGUGAAAUUGUAUAA